GACGAACCACACGAACGUUAUUCGGAAUUACUGGGCUUAAAGGGUGCGUAGGCGGCGCAGAAAGUUGGGUGUGAAAUCCCUCGGCUCAACCGAGGAACUGCGCCCAAAACUACUGUGCUUGAGGAAGAUAGAGGUAAGCGGAACUUACGGUGGAGCGGUGAAAUGCGUUGAUAUCGUAAGGAACACCUGUGGCGAAAGCGGCUUACUGGGUCUUUUCCGACGCUGAUGCACGAAAGCCAGGGGAGCAAACGGG
rnacentral:rRNA from 1 species